rnacentral:lncRNA from 1 species
UUCCUGUGUCCAUGUGUUCUCAUUGUUCAAUUCCCACCUAUGAGUGAGAACACGUGGUGUUUGCUGAACGCGCCCGAUCUCGUCCAAAUCUUAAGUUUUCUGUGAGGGAGAAUAGUCUGGACCUCUAUGCAACUAAGCAUAAAGUGGAUGACCACUUGGUGGGGAUAUUGUAGAAGGGAUUGACUCAUUGACAGGGUGAUUGGACCAGAUGAUCUUUAAGAUUUCCCUCUAUCCUGGGAUUCUACAGUGUUUAAAAAUUGUCAUGACAGGAGAUUCCUGCACAUUUUAAAAAUUAAAAUCACAAUAUUGUACGUGCUUUAGAAAGCCUAGCGGAAUGGAUUUAAUUCUGCCUAUUGUAGUGAUAAUAAUGCAAUAUUAAUAUGUGGAUAUGAUCUGUUUAUGGAUUACUCAUAUAGACAAAUUAGACAUAUUUAUUGGUCAACAAGUGCCACUACACAUUGUUGGAAUACAUGUGGCUGCUUUUUUCAUAAAUUAAUCAUUGGAGUGAAUUAAGAUGAGAACAUAACAAAUGUCAGCUCAUAACAAAUGUCAUCUAAUUCUAGACCCCAAUUUAUAGAUGAAAAUAAUAUAUAUUCAUUUUCUUCCUUCUCUCUUUCCAAAUUGGUAGAGAAAAGAUAUAAAUAUUCCUCUUAUAUCAUCACUUAGAGAUAAGAAUAUGCUAAAUCUGGAAAAUUCUGUUAGGAGGACCUAUAAUGGAAUAAUUCUGCCUCAUUUCUUUCACAUGAGAUAAACUUCACUUUUAUUAGUAUUUCUCCCCAGAGUCUUCUCUAAUCUUCUCAAUUUGGGUUCUUCCCAUUUUCUCCCAUGUCCUUGGACCACUUACUGUGUUUUAACUAGAGCAUGGUUAUAUGUAAAUAUGUGUGUUUUCCCCAGUGGAUGGCAAAAAGGAAUCUUCCUUGCACAUUUUUGUAAUCCCCACAAUACCUACUGCCUUUCCUGCGUGGGGUGAUUCUCAAUAGACGUUUGUGGUUUGAAAUCAUUUCAAAUCACAAAUAAGCACCUUCACUUAUGCACUACAUAUUUGGUCCAGCAGUUAAUAUGACAGUACUCAUUAAAUAUCCCAUGUGAUAUUGUGAUGAACUUGCUUUGGAAGUUAUUGAUCAUGACCAUUAUAUGAGAAGAAGAAAAACCUGAUUACUCUGAACACGUAGGAGCACAGCAGAAAAGAAAAUGCACCUAAAAGGAUUUUUGUUUUCUGAUUUUUUUUUUUUUUUUUGCACAGCUUUCAAGUGCAGACAACUUUUUCUUGUUGUCUAGAGCCAUUGCUUCCAGAGCUUAUGAGGAGCUAUAAAAGAGGUCAGGACACCUGGGUCUAGUCUCAGCUCUACCACGAACUAGCAAUGUGGCCAAGCACCAAGCCUUUCUGGUCUUAGCUUUCUCAUUUAUAAAAUGAAGAAGCCAAAGUUAACUGGAUUUCUAGCCCCUGCCAACUCUCAUAUCUCUAACAGUAAGUUGAGAGAUUUUUCUCUCUCUGACAUUGUCCCCUUUCUUUCCACCUCUCACAAUGUGCGCAACUUGAGAUAAGUUACUUCACCUCUGUGUGGCUCAGCUUUCCCAUGUAUACAAUGGGAGAUACCUACUUUUUAGUGUUGUGAUUAGGAUUAAAUGAGUUAAUGCAUGUGAAGUGUUGGAACAGUGUCUGAUGUGGAAUACUCACUAAUGUUAACUUUUUAUUUUACUACUUUGCUGAAAAUGUUAGUGUAUUUCCAGUUGUUAAAAUUACAAACCAACCCCUCACAUGGUGCCUGACUCAGGAACUUUACCGACUAUGGGUUUUCAAUCUAUUUUAUAUCAUUCCUCUUUAUUUUUUAAUUUUUAGUUUUUGAUGCAGUGUCUCCCACUCUUGCCCAGGCUAGAGUGCAGUGAUGCAAUCAUAGCUCACUGCAGCCUUGAUAUCCCAGCCUCAGGUGAUCCUCCUGCUUCAGCCUCCUAAGUAGCUGGGAUGACAGGCAUGUGCUACCGUGACUGGAUUUAAAAAAAAUUUUUUUUAUGUAGAACGAGGUAUUACUAUGUUGCCCAGGCUACAUUCCUCUUUAAAGUAGCAUUAUAUAAAAUUGUAUUUCCGUCUGUUCUCAGAAUAUCUCUGAUCAUUCACACACUGUAGUCUAUAAUUUUCUAUCUGUAUCCCCUACCCUGUGUUGCUCAGUGUGUUUGUUUUUACACAACUAAUCUUUGGCUUCUGGCUCACUGUCCUGUGUUGAGGGACCAUGUAGAGACUUCGGUGUUUGCCAUUUCCAUGCUCAUAGAACUCAUUAGUACAAUAGAUGGAGACACCUGGUGCAUAGAGAUGGAGGACUCAGCAUGAGAAUGUCCCAUUUUCCAUAGCCCUCAUUUUUGCUUGGAGCAUGAUGAAUGUUACACUGGCAUAGUUAAGAGGUCCAUCAGUUCAGUUCAGUAUAUUAUAAGUAAAAUUAAAUAUAUUGAGCAUUUCAUCUGUGAUAAGCUCUGUUCUAGUUUUGUAUAUAUGAGAAAAUAUAUCCAACUGGAGGUAGAAGAGAGAAAGAUAUGAAGAGAACAACAGCGGGGUCUUUGUUCUCAAGGAGUCUGCACUGUUGCUCGAUGUGGUGCUCUAGAUAUCAGGGAGAAGUAUGCCUUGGAAGAUAAUAAUUGACACCUACAUAGAAAUUCAAUGGAUACAAAAUCCUUUUAUAUAUGUAAUAUCGUUUAAUCCUUCAUCACUAUUAUUUGAUUUAAUCCAAAGUUUAACUAAGUUUUGCAGAGGUUAAAUAACGUGCCAGCAGGCUGCCCAGCCAGAACGGGAAGUCAGAAUGUUCUUCUGCCUGUAGGGUGUGUGCUCCAAUGUGCCUGGAGAAGAAGAAUGUGAUAAUGGAUAAAACGCAGAGGUUCCUUGUAUGUUUUACUGUUUUUUUUUGUUAGUCUGUAGUACACUUCUGAUUCUCCAAAGUGGUACACAAUUUUCCAACUUUGAAUUUUUGACAGAGUCAUGAUUUAAAGCUUCAAGCAUAUGAUUAUGAGAUGGUGGUUCUCAACAUUUACCACAACCUCCCAGCAAACCACACAGCAGUCAACUCUCAAGAUUUCUUCCAGGAGGGUAAAGGGAUUUUUCUCUUCACAUGCCAUCCAACUCCAUGGGAAAACAUUAGCAGUGACAAAUGACUCUGGAUGAAUGCUUGAAUCCGAGGUAAAUAUGAGCCUUUGCUCCUCCACAUAAGAAAGGUGCCAUCAGAGUAUUCUCUAUGAAUACAUUUGAAAGACAACAUCUGAACAAUUUUGGUUAUUAUCUAUUAGCCUUCAGGAGAAUUUCUAUAAUUACGAAGCACGCAGUGGGAAGUGUUAUUGCUUGGAGCCAAGUCUAUUUAUGUUGAUAUUUGUAGAUAUUUACAUUUAUUUUCUUUGGCAGACAUAGACAAACACAUUUCUGAAAACUACUUUGUCUGUGGAAAAACGAAGCAGAAUAUACUUUAAAAAAAUCUACCACAGAAAGGAUAAUAAUAGCUUUCAUGUCUGAAGACAACAGACAGGCAUGAAAUAUAAGAAUUAUUUUAUCCUGGACAAGAGAAUUGGUGUUAGAGCAAAUUUUGACCAUGUCACAGUCUGGAUAACUCUUAGGUUUAAAACUUGCACCCCCAUAGACCUCAGUCCACAGAGGAGAUAACUGAUCUGGGGCUUAGCAGUAUUGGCAGGGUGGUGCAUUAUGGGAUUUAGCUAUAGAGUGUUUGCUCCCCAAAGAGAGAACUGCAGGAAUUUUAAGAACUUGCAUCAAUUCCCCUGUGUAGAACAGUAUGUCUAAGUAUAUUUCAAGUAAAUCCUCAACUCAACACAUAAAGCUGCAGUUACACCACGCCUUUAAAAGGAAAUUAGAGCACAGAAACGAGGCCAGACUGCCCCUCCUGGAGACAAAUCCCCUGUUCAUCUCUUCAACUGCUGUCAGUCCUUAAGUAUGUUUACCUCCUGUCCCACCCACCCCACUACCACAUCAGUUUCAGGCUCUUGAUUUUUUCUUCCAGGCCUCAAAAAGCAUGUAGCAAUUUAUAUAAUUUUUUUAGACAUUGUUUUUCUAGCAAAUUAAUUCAGAUCACAAUGCUUUUUGUGAUGAAUUUUAAAACAUUGAUUAUCUUUUUUUUUUAAGAAAGUCCUCAAAAAUGGUCUUUGAAGGGGAGAUUUGCUCUGAUGAGUAUGAUAUAAAACCUCAGCCUUUGAAUAAAUACAAUAUGCCUUGCUGGCAUAGUAACUAGGUUGCUUGGAUGAGGAUGCAUACUAAUUAGGGCAACUUAAUGGCAUAAUGACUAGGGUCAUUUAUUCAUGGUUGGUUGUUCUUCAAAUGUAAUUUGGGAGAGAGUGCCAAUGCAUACCCAUUCUACCUUCAAUAGAGAGAGUGGAAUUCCACAGGUUUAUGGGGACAAAUAGGACAACACAGGUAAUUUCACAGAUUUGCAGUUAGCAGUUUUCUAUUUGAUACCCACAGUUUUUAACAGUUUUAGCUCCAAACAUGUUAGAAUUAAACCUCAUUGCCUGUAGAGUUUAAAAGACAGCAUUAUCAUCUGUAUGUGUAUGAGGUGGCAACAACUUUGAAGACAAACAUAAGGCAUAGGUGGCACAGGUUCAAGGACCUGUCACUCUGUGGACUCACUUCUGAAUUGUUCAGUUGCUUUUGCUCUUAGUCACCUGCAUCUAGUAGAUGCAUUUUGGAAUAUCCCAAGAAAGUGAAAAUGACCUAACAUUAUUCAAGCUGUGCUUUGGUGUUUCUCCUGUUGACCUUUGCCUGUUACUUGACUUUGGUUGAGUAAAGAGCUAUGACAUGGAUAUCCUAUCAUUUCAUAUUCUGGCCUAGUCCUAUAUCUAUCUCAAUGUAUAAUUUUCCUGCAGUCAUACUGUCUAAUGAGUGCUGGUGAGAAUUAUGUAUCAUAGGUUUGAAAUAAGAUCUAUUUUAAUUUUUGAAGAGUGAUGACCAAUAUGCCAUUCCGUCUAUUUGACUGAAACUGAUUGCAGUAGUAGAUUAUAUUCUCUCCAAGACAGUAAUGACACCACGACUGUUUUUAAUGACUUCCAACAUAGGAAGAAAAACUUAGAACUCAGAACUCAGGGUGGGUGUGGUAGAAGAAUUAUCGUAUAAAAUCCAUAUGUUUUAGAGUUGGUUGUACUGUAGUAGAAGAGCUCAGGUAUGUUUUGGGUUAGUAUAGUCCCUCAAACAAUUUCUUUCAAAUGUUUUCUUUCAACCAAAUCUGAAACACAUUUUGCCAAAACUUUUUUUCCCUUAAUUUUUAAAGGCAUGUGUAUUUAAAGGGACAUUUAAUCCAUAUGUUUUGGCUCAUUUACACUUAACUCAUCAGGAUAUUGUUUUUAAGAGUUAUUUGAGCUCCACAAAACCCAUUUUAUAAGUCUUUUCUUCCGCAGUACAAGGAAGUUGUGUUUUGCUGGAAACAGAAAUGGAACCCACAAAAUAAUUAAGUUCGGAUGAAAAUUGAGAAUGUACAAGGUUUCCGAAAGCCACUAAACUUAACUUAGAAAAACAUGUUAUUCUCUUGCAGUUUUUUAGUUACUUCUAGAUAUCAAUAUGCUUUAGCCAAGGUGCUAAAUUAGAACAUCUUUUAAAUCUUUAUUUCGCAGUUAAGUGUCUAAAUGCUUAUUUCCCAAAAUACCAUCUUUAGUGUAAUGGAUAAAAGCAAGGUUAAAAAAAUAAGGAGCAUAUACAAAAAAGUGAGCUCUAAAUUUCUUUUGAGGUUGAUGCAGAGCUAUGAUCUUGAACCUUCAUUGUGCCUUUUCUCUCCUUGCCAGUCUUUUCAUGGAAUUAUGCCUGCUAUGCCCAUAAAAGUUCCUUCUGCUGUGUUUCAUGAAUGUAGGUAGCUACUGCUACACAGGAUCUCACUGUGUCUGCAUCCUCAGCACCUUCAGAGCCCUCAGAUAUUUCCUGCUGGGUAGAAGGAUGGAUCUAGGGAAUUUAUUAGACAAUAUAGUGGGAUUUCCCUUCUGUCUUGUAUUUCUCAGGAAGAUUGGUAUCUGAGGAUAUUCCUGGAGAGAACUCAAGAAAAUCAACAUAUGCUUUAGAUAGGGUAUAUACAGACAAUGUCCCUGAAGAGUUGGGUGAGAGAUAAAGCCCUUCAGAUCAGCAUUGACCUGAAAUUAUAUUCUCAUCAUUUUAGAGAGAAGUUGAGCACCUCUGAAAUAAAUUUUGUCUAUUGAACCUCAAUAUCUAAUGAAAAGAACUACCCUUUCUCAAUAAAAAAAAAAUUACUACAACAUUUUCCAUAGGCCCCAGAAUUCCUUGAGCAAACCUUCUGUAAUGAGUUGAGUUGUUGAUACUCCCCUUUUCUUCUCAUAUUUGGGUAGAUAUCUGAGUAAAAAUCAAUUUCAAUUAGAGAAGGUAAGAGCAAAAAAUUAAUAAGAUUUUUAUAUUUCAUAGUAAAAUAUAAAAAUGUGUAUUAGACAACAAUUAGUAAACAAGUAACAAAAUGGCAGUAGUAAGGCCUAAUGUAUAAAUAAUAACAUUAAAUGUAAAUGAACUAAAUUAGUCACUUAAAAGACAGUAUGGCUGAAUGGAUUAAACAAUAAGACCCAAUUAUAUGUUGCCUACAAGAAAGUCACUUCACCUGAAAAGACAUACAUAGACUGAAAGUGAAGGGAUGGGAAAAGAUAUUUCAUGCAAAUAUAAACCAAAAAGAACAGGAGUGUCUAUACUUAAAUCAGAUAAAAUAGAGUUUAAGUCAAAAACUGAAAAGAGAGACAAAGAAGAGGAUUCUAUAAUGAUAAAACGUCAAUUUAGCAAGAGGACAUACCAUAGUAAAUACAUAUGCAACCAACACUGAAGCACUCAUAUAUAUAAGAAAAUAUUAAUAGAUCUAAAGAGAAAGACAGAUUACAAUACAAUAGAAGUAGGAUACUUCAACACCCCGCUUUUGGCAAGGACAGAUCAGCCAGAAAAUCAACAAACAAACAUUGCUGUUUGACUGUAUUGUAGAUUAAAUGGACUUAACAUACCUUUAGAGAACAUUUCAUCCAGUUGGAUGUGAACACACAUUUUUUUGAUUACCACAUGAAACAUUCUUCAGGACAGACCAUAUGUUAGACCACAAAACAAGUCUCAACAAAUUAUAAAAAGGUCUAAAUCAUAUCAAGUAUAUUUUCUGAACACAAUGAAAUAAAACAAGAAAUCAAUAGCUAGAGGAACUUCAGAAACCAUACAAAUACAUGGAAAUUAGGCAACGUGCUCUUGAACAACCAGUGGAUCAAUGAAGAAAUUAAGAAGGACAAUAAAAAAUUUCGAGAAUCAAAUAAAGACAGAACACAACACACCUGAACCUAUGAGAUACAGAAAAAGCAGCACUGAGGGAAUUUUAUACCAGUAAAUGCCUACAUCCAAAUAAUAAAAAAAAUUUAAAUAAUUAACCUAACAAUUCACUUCCAGGUUACUAGAAAAGCAAGAACAAAUCAAACCCCAAAAUAGUAGAAGGAAAGAAAUAACAAAGAUCUGGGCAGAAAUAAAUGAAAUUGAGACUAAAAGAAAAAUACAAAAUAUUAACAAAAUUAAACUGGUUUUGAAAAAAUAAACAAAUGGACAAACCUUUAGCUAGAUCAACUAAGAAAAAAAGAGAUAAGACCCAAAUAAAUAAAAUCAGAAAUGAGAAAGGAACAUUAUGAUGGUUAGCACAGAAAUACAAAGGAUCAUUAGAGACCAUUAUGAACAACUAUAUGCCAAAAAAUUAGAAAACUUAGAAGAAAUGGAUAUAUUCUGAACACAUACAACUCACCAAGAUUGAACCAUGAAAAAAUAGAAAACCUAAACAAACCAAUCAUGAAUAAUGAGAUUAAAGCAGUAGUCUAAAUUUGGUCAUCAAAGAAAAACCAAGGACCUGAAGGAUUCACUGCUGAAUUCUACCAAAACAUUUGAAGAAGUACUAAUACCAAUUAUACUAAAAUCAUUUAAAAAUUAAAGAGGAAGGAAUACUUCCAAAUUCAUUGUAUACAGCCAGCAUUAAGCUAAUACCAAAACCAGACAAAGACACACACACAAAGUAAAACUACAAGCCAGUAUCCCUGAUGAACACAGAAGCAAAAAUGCCCCCAAAAAUACUAGCAAACAGAAUUCAACAACCCGUUAAAAAAAUCAUUCUCAAUGAUCAAGUGGGAUUCACCUCAUAGAUGCAAAGACAGUUCAACAUACACAAAUCAAUAAACACAAUACAUUAUGUCAACAGAAUCAAGGACAAAAUCCAUGUGAUAAUUUUUAUAAAUGCUGAAAAAGCACUUGAUAAAAUUCAACAUCCCUUUAUGAUAAAAACCUUCAACAAAUUGGGUAUAGAAGGAACAUAUCUCAACACAAUCAAGGCCAUAUAUUACAAGCUCACAGUUAAAAUCAUACAGAAAGAGUAAACAUUGAAAGCCUUUCUACAAAGAUCUGUAAUAAGAUAAGGAAGCCCACUUUCACCAUAUGUAUUCAACAGAGUACUGGGAAUCCUAGCCAAAGCAAUUAGGCAAGAGAAAGAAAUAAAGGACAUCCAAAUUGGAAAGCAGGAAGUCAAAUUAUUAUUAUUUUUUUUUGCAGAAGACUUGAUCUUAUAUUUAGAAAAACCUGAAGACUCUGCCAAAAAACUUUUAGAACUGAAAAUUUGUAAAAUUUUAAGAUACAAAUAACAUCUUAGUAAAAUUACAAGAUACAAAUAACAUAUAAACAUCACUAGUGUUUCUAUAUGCCAACAGAGAUCUAUCUGAAAAAGUAAUCAAGAAAACAAUUUCAUUUACAAUAGCUACAAAAAUAUCAAAAUACAAAUUUAACCAAAGAUGUGAAAAAUCUCUGUGAGGCAACUAAAACACUGAUGAAAGAAGUUGAAGAGGAUAUGAAAAAUGGAAAAUAUCCCAUGCCAUGGAUGAUAAAAAUUAAUAUUGUUAAAAUGUCUAUACUACCCUAAGUGAACUACAAUCAAAACACCAGUGACAUUCUUCACAGAAAUAGAAAAACAAUCCUAGAAUUCACAUGGAAUUACAAAAGAUCUGGCACAGCUAAGGCAAUCCUGAGCAAAAAGAACAAAGCUGGAAACAUCAUACCACCUGAUUUCAAAUUACAUGACAAAACUAUAAUAAACAUAACAGCAUAGUACUGGCAUAAAAACAGAGACAUAGACCAAUGGAAGAGGAUAGAGACCCCAGAAGUAAGUGCAUGUAUUUACAGUCAACUCAUAUUUGACAAAGGCACCAAGAAUAUACGCUGGGGGAAAAGGACAGUCUCUUUAAUAAAUGAUGCUGGGAAAACAGGAUAUCCAUAUGUAGAAAAAUGAAAAAAAAAAGACCCCUACCUUUCACCAUGUACAAAAAUUAACUCAAAUUGGAUUAAAGACUUAAAUGUAAAAUCUGAAACUAUAAAACUAGUAGAAAACAUUGGGGACAUACAGGACAUUGGACUUAGCAAAGAUUUUUUUGGAUAAGACUUCAAAAGCACAGGCAACAAAAAUAAAAACAGACACAUGGUAUUACAUAAAGCUAAAAAGCUUCUGAACAGCAAAGGAAAUAAUUAACAAAGUGAAGAGACAACCUACAGAACAGGAGAAAAUAUUUUCAAACUAUCCAUCUGAAAAGGAAUUAAUAACCAGAGUAUGUAAAGAACUCAAACAACUUAUUAACAAAAAAGCAAGCUAGCAAGCAAGAAAAAAAAUCUGAUUUAAAAAUGAGCAAAAGAGCUUAAUAGACAUUUCUCAAAAGUAGACAUACAAAUGGCCACAAAUGCUCAAUAUCACUAAUCAUCAGGGAAAUGCAAAUCAAAACCACAAUCAGAUAUUAUCUGAUUGGCUUUAUCAAAAAAGAAAAAAUAACGAAUGCUGGCAAGGACGCAGAGAAAGGAGAACACUGGUAAACUGUUGGUGAGAAUGUCAAAUCAUUAUGGAAAACAGUAGGAGGUUCCUCAGAAAAACAAAGAUAGUACUACUAUAUGAUUAAUCAUUCCAUUGCUGGGUAUAUGUCCAAAAGAGAGGAAAUAAGUAUGUCAAAGGGAUAUCUGCAGUUUCACGUUUAUUGCAGUAGUAUUUGCAAUAGCCAAGAUAUGGAAUCAACCUAAGUGUCCAUCUACAGAUGAAUAGAUAAAGCAAAUAUAGUGUAUAUACACAACGGAAUAUCAUUCAGCCAUAAAAAAGUUAAUGAAAUCCUGUCAUUUGCAGCAACAUGGAUAGGACUGGAGGUCAUUAUAAGUGAAAUAAGCCAGUCACAGAAGGACAAAUAAUGGAUGUUUUGAAUCAUAGGUAGGGGCAAAUAAAAGUAGAUCUCAUGGAUAUAGAAUAGAAUAGUAGUUACCAGAGGCUGUCAAGAGAAGGUGGAAGAGGAUAAAGUUGGUUAAUGAGUACAAAAAUAUAGUUAAUAGAAGGAAUGUGUUCUAUUAUUUGAAAGUACAGUAGGAAAAUUAUAGUUAACAAUAAUUUAUUGUAUAUUUCAAAAUAGCUAGAAAAGAAGAAUUAUAAUGUUCCCAUCACAAAGAAAAGAUAAAUAUUUGAGUUGAUGAAUAGUUCAAUUACUCUGACUUGAUCACUAUAUGUUGUAUAUGUAUAUUAAAAUACCAUGUUCACAAAAAUGUGUACAACUGUGAUAUAGCAAUAAAAAUACAAUAAAAGUGUGUUAUGAAUAGCUGAAUAUCUGGUAAUAUAAAUAAAAAUCUUUAAAAUCUUAACAGUCUGAAUACUAGAGAGUAAAUUUUAUUUCUUAAAAGACUUUUACUACAGUCAAUUUUGUCAUGCAAUAUUAAUGGAGUGUAAUGAGUUUGAUAGGGCAGUUCUAUGUAUGUGCUGUCUUCCCUUUGAGAAUGAAUAUGAAUUCUUUUCUGUCAACAUUGCAUAUAGAUAAUAUUAAUCAUUUGAAGCACACACUGUGGCUAUACCUGAGGUAAGGUGUUCUGGUGUUGAUAAAUGAAUGAAUCAUCCUCAGAGAUUUAGAUGAAAUUCUUGAAAAGUUUGCUAUUAUUUUUAAGGCAAAUAUUUAAUUUGGGAACAGAGGUCCAUCUUUCUGAAUAUUUGAGGCUUCUAAAAUGUACAAAAAGGAAUCUGUUUGACAUUUCUGAGAAAUAGAGGAAUCCAAUGAUAUAAGGGUCUUUUCUGAAAGCAUUAAAAAAUUUAGUUAUAAUCUUGAAUGAUAACUUUCAGUGUUUUAUCACAAUGAAAGUAUUUCAUUGACCCAAAUUAAUGGACUGUUUAUUUUUUUAUACUGUAAUGCUAGUGAAGUUGUAG